AUCCAGAUAACACAGAUCUGUGUUAAAAAAUUACAUAGGUUGUGGAACAGUUCCGGCUUUCAAAAGUGGGUAAUUUUUUUACACAGAUCUGUGUAAAAAGUUACACAGAAUUUCGAUCAGCCUUCCUUUCAAAUCUGGGUGAAAAAGAUAAGAUGGCGUUUUCCUGCAACAUUGACGAAACUUGGUAAGAUUUUUUCUCUUCUGGUUGUUUAAGUUGUAAUAUUUUAAAAAAUGUUUUCCUAUUUCAGACUUUUUUGACGAAAUGACCAGUUGUUGCAUCGUAAUUGAACUGGAAUUGGCCCCAUUGCAGAGAAAUGAUUACUCGAAAAUUUAUAAUGCUCCCGUUGAUCGUCUUGCAUGCACGCCGAUUCCGCCUGAAUUUACCACCUCGGAACAUCUCCGGACUGGAAAACCUGGUGCUUCAAGGUCAGCGGCACUAUCUCCCGUGGAAGCUGCUCUACGACAGGAGGACAUUUAUCAGGUCGAUUUUGUGACGGUGAAGCACUUUUUUAAAAUAGAUUAUAGCCUUAUAUUUAGUUAAUGAAAUGUAUAAGAGAAACUUGAAAUAAUAAAUCAUGGCAACAUG